rnacentral:lncRNA from 1 species
UGAAUGCACCAUGGAAAACUCCCCAAAUGCAAAGGAAAUUAAAGGGGCUCCCUACUCUUUGUCUAUGGAUGAAGUUAUGGACAUUCUGAACCAAAUCCACCUCUUCUACUUAUUCAAAUUUUGUUCACCGUGAGGCCUCUAUAAGGAAAGAUGGAUUAAAGAAAAGGAUAGACUUAUUUAACACACGUUUUAUGUGACACGGGAACCUUCAUACGGAAAUGAAGACCUGAAGAAACAGGUUAAAACAAUGAAAAGAAAGCAACUAUUCUGUUGGACUGAACAAUUUAUUUGAAACUUUGACUUCACAAAGACUCAAGUAGCAUUCUUUCAUUUGUUUCAUGGUGUUAGUUGGUUUAACCUUUUUUGACUUGUCCGAGCACAGUGAAUUCACUGCCCACGGGGAGUUUGCUGACCAUCUGCUCUAUGUCAUGUAGAAAAGCCACAGGGCCUUUCUUCCUUUCCUGGUGUCCGUAGUUCCAGAAGGAUUUAGUCAAGAUAAAAUUGCCUCCCAUCUUGAGUUGAUGUGUUUGAAUGUAAGAGUUACCUUUGGAGGGGAAAAGAAAUAACUUUUUUUUUUUUAAUCUAUCAUUAAGUUCAUGGCUUGGGCCCUAAUAACAAAGGACAGAUUAACAAGAGAAAAGCAUACACAUUUAUUUAAUAUAAGUUUUAUGUGACAUGAGAGCAUUCAUAAAGAAAUGAAGGCCUAAAGAAAUAGAGAAACUUGGAGAUUUUUAUGCUGAGGUUUGAUUAAGUGUGAUUGGA